AAGUCGUAACAAGGUUUCCGUAGGUGAACCUGCGGAAGGAUCAUUACUUGAUAUCAAUGUGUGAAUCACUUCACUCAUUUGAUUUCAACAUUACACCAAACCUGUGCUCUUUCUUUUUUCCCACUCCGCAUUCUGUUUUUUAUUUUCUUACUCUGACUGUGUUGAUUGUGGAUCCAAUGUCCAAUACACAUGUGUUGGACACUGGUCCCUCUCAUCUGUGGAUCUCAGCUUCGUUGCUGUGUCCACUUUUGUAAUUCACUCUCCAUUGGGUGCUGUAGUGCACUAGUGUACUGUGGUUGUCCCAUAUGGAAUUGGAAAUACUACUCCUAACAAUGGAUAUCUCGGCUCUC
rnacentral:misc_RNA from 1 species